UUCAGGGUUUUUUUUUUUAAAACGUGACACUAUUGGACACUACUGGAAAUAUUUCAAGAGAUCGCUGCUAUAGGCCAAUUUUGGAAUUGCAUAGAGAUCCCUAUUCAAAGGGUUAUGAUAUACUGACCUGCAAAUUGUGAAGGAGGAUUUAAUCAUUUUCCACAAGAAUCAUUUUUAAAUAACUUGCCCAAAUCAGAAGAGAAAACAUUGAACUGGAGUACAAGACAAUACGUGAAAUGUUGGAAGAAUUUAACCAGGUCUUCAAGAAAAUAGAAGAAAAUGACAUUAAAGUUCAGAAACCUUUAAUAGUUUUAGGAGCCCGAGUCGUGGUGACGUUCUCAUCGAGAUAUUUGAGGUCAUUUGAGAGAACUUGACUAUCAUGCAAGCAAUUACGUAAAAGGGGCCACAUAACAACCGCACUGCUCUACAACAUGCUGCAAUGAUGAUCAAUAAUCUUGACUACAUUUCAAAACGAGACUGUGUGAUAAGACUUACCAUUUGCAUAAUUAUUUUGGUAUGGAGAAGAGCCAUAUUCCCUAGGCAUUCAUUAGGGUAUUUAUAAUGCCAAAAUGGACUUCUGACAGUAAACCGGAUGGACAAUGUGAGUGAAAAGUCAACACCUUUUAUGCAGAUAGUUGGAUAAUUAAAUAAUUAAAAGUGAUAUAGAGAUUCCAUUCUCUCUCAUUUCAAUUGAUAUUCUUUUAUUGAGAUCAUUAUGUGAAAUGCACUAUGCUCAAUAUAAUUGUUAUCAGUAUAACCGCUGUAAAAUGUGCUGGAAAGUUUGUCUAUAUACAAAGAAUAAAGAUGACUUGGACAUACAAAAUUGAUGAAUUAAACACACAUGAAUUCUUCAAUUUUCCUACACGAUUUUGUAUUAUACAGUGUGUUUGCUGGAUUAUGCAUGGGAAUUUGAAAACCAUUACGACUUAUGUCGCUUUUAACCUUAAACAAAUUUUCAACUUCGUAUUAUUCAAUGAAUCAUUUCAUUCUGUCUCUUGCUGAGGAAAGUAAUCCUGAAUAACAUGUUCAAAAAAUCAUUAGGCCAUGCCGCAUCAAAACUUAAAUAAAAUGAUCAAUUAUUUAAAGAAAAACUAUGCUUGAAGGGAGGUAAUUCGCAUUUUUUUUCAUAAUAAAAUCUAGCUAUAUUACAAUUGAUAUAGAUAAUGAUUUUGUUUAAACAAUAAUGAUAUAUCCAUUUUUGUGGUAUAAGAUGUAAAAAUCAUUUUGAUAAGGGCCAAAUUGCAUCUGUCCAUUUAAAGAUUCCAUUUUUUCUAAGAGAGCUAUGUUGCUUCAAAGAGCUAAGUUGGACAUGUUAAGAUCAUUUUGAUAAAAACAAACUUUAUCUGCCAAAUUAAAAAUAAAGCAAUGAGUAAAAUCUAAGAAGGCUUUGGAAAUGGUUUUGGAAAUGAUUUUUCACUCCUUGAAUCAUAGGAUAUAUCUUAGUACAGUCCAAACUUAUCAAGCAAUUCAUAGUAUGUGAAGAAAUGAUCUAAAUGCCUAUAUCAAAUUGAAAUAUGUUUUCAAAAUAUCAUUUCUGUAGUUAUUUGAAGAGUUCAAGAAAUAUCUUGACAUGUGAAGUGUUGCACUUAGGUUGAAGUAAAUUUAUCUUCUGUAUAUUCAUCUGUAAUAGAUAAACAUGAAAAAAAUGAAGAUAAAGAAGAUU